GCAUUUAUGUCUGAGAAAAGAACCUUCUUUCCAGCCUCCACUUCCCCAACCUCAGUACCAACAGAUAGUACCUCCCCCAUUAGGUAGCGCUCAAAUUUCACAGCUGAUUUAGGCAACAAAACUCCGCCAGUUGAUUUCUCAGGUAAUUCUUCAAGACGGAUAAGGACCCUAUCAGAUUGAGGAACAACCUUCGUGGGAUCCCAUUUUUU
rnacentral:misc_RNA from 1 species